rnacentral:rRNA from 1 species
GAUGAACGCUGGCGGCGUGCCUAAUACAUGCAAGUCGAGCGAACAGACGAGAGUGCUUGCACUCUCUGACGUUAGCGGCGGACGGGUGAGUAACACGUGGGUAACCUACCUAUAAGACUGGUAUAACUUCGGGAAACCGGAGCUAAUACCGGAUAAUAUUUAGCUUCGCAUGACGCAAUAGUGAAAGACGGUUCUUCUGUCACUUAUAGAUGGACCCGCGGUGUAUUAGCUAGUUGGUGAGGUAACGGCUCACCAAGGCAACGAUACAUAGCCGACCUGAGAGGGUGAUCGGUCACACUGGGACUGAGACACGGCCCAGACUCCUACGGGAGGCAGCAGUAGGGAAUCUUCCGCAAUGGGCGAAAGUCUGACGGAGCAAUGCCGCGUGAGUGAAGAAGGUUUUCGGAUCGUAAAGCUCUGUUGUAAGGGAAGAACAAGUACGUUAGUAACUGAACGUAUCUUGACGUUACCUUACCAGAAAGCCACGGCUAACUACGUG